GAUGAACGCUGGCGGCGUGCCUAAUACAUGCAAGUCGAGCGAAUGGAUUAAGAGCUUGCUCUUAUGAAGUUAGCGGCGGACGGGUGAGUAACACGUGGGUAACCUGCCCAUAAGACUGGGAUAACUCCGGGAAACCGGGGCUAAUACCGGAUAACAUUUUGAACCGCAUGGUUCGAAAUUGAAAGGCGGCUUCGGCUGUCACUUAUGGAUGGACCCGCGUCGCAUUCGCUAGUUGGUGAGGUAACGGCUCACCAAGGCAACGAUGCGUAGCCGACCUGAGAGGGUGAUCGGCCACACUGGGACUGAGGCACGGCCCAGACUCCUACGGGAGGCAGCAGUAGGGAAUCUUCCGCAAUGGACGAAAGUCUGACGGAGCAACGCCGCGUGAGUGAUGAAGGCUUUCGGGUCGUAAAACUCUGUUGUUAGGGAAGAACAAGUGCUAGUUGAAUAAGCUGGCACCUUGACGGUACCUAACCAGAAAGCCACGGCUAACUACGUGCCAGCAGCCGCGGUAA
rnacentral:rRNA from 1 species